CUAUGUGAAAUGCCCAUUGGAGUAGAUAUCAUUGAUCCCGAAAGCUAUAGGCUUGAAUCAGACCUACUCGUGAACCCUAGCAUAGUUGCAGAUGAGUGAUAAUUGUGGAUGAGUUACAAGUACAUGGAUGGGUGAUGCUAUUCAGAUAAAACAUUAUGAGAAUGAAUACCGAAUGGUGGUGGCUACUGGUUUAAAUUUCAAGAAUCAAGACUUUUUUCCUUUCUUGAUGUUCAAGAAUCAAGACUUUGUUAUUAUUUAAUUACUAAUUUACUA